UCCAGUUGCACACAGGACGGAAGAAGGUUUUGGUGUGUGCUACCGACGCAAUCCUAGUCCGUCAUCUCCGCUUAUAAAUCCCACUCAUUUUGAAGUUGCAGGUUGUUUUCAUUUUCAUCAUCUUUUAAUUCUCAGCAGAUCUCUUGACGAUAUCCUCAAUGUUCCUUUCCUUCUCUUCUCUCCCCCGUCCAUCAUCUCUUCCUCCAUCUCCAUUCAUCUCUCCCCAAAACUCCCCAUUCUUCAACACCUCCAUCGUCCUCUCUCUCAAUCCGCCACAAGCAAGAGUCCCACCACAAGAGCAUUCACAGGCUGGCAAGAAUACAAAGAAGCCGUGAAAGACAAGGACCUCGCCCAAACACUUCGCUUCUUGAAAUCCGUCAAAUCCCUUCCCCUCCAAUCCUCUCUCGAUGGCGGUAGCAGCGCCGGUCUGUCGCAGCUACAAUGGCCAAAUAGCCAAAUAGGUACUAGGAAGUGCUCAACGUUUGCUUGAAUGCAGACGACAUGAAGCUCAUCGGCAGCGCAUACAAGUUCCCCCACUACAGGGGCUUCCUCCCUAAUAUUGGGAAGUUCAAGAACAUCGGUGGAAACAUGACGAGAUCCAGACAGCUUUUCCAGCAGCCUCAAUGUGGAUGCUCAUGGUCAAACGGAUUGAUUAAAGAGAUUAAUUUCAGAGUGGGAUGUUAAAAGAAAAGUAGAUGGAAGGUUUGAAUGCAGUUGGAGCACCCUGCCAUUGACCCUACUUGUACAAAUUGACAAACUGAGGCUAUCAUGUACUAUUCUUUCCAAGGAUCAUAUACAAUCUAGAUCAUCAGAUAACGUGCUUGGUGGUAACGCAUGAGAUAGGCGACCCGAAUCACAUUAUUAUCUAUAGUAUGAUUAAAUGGGAGGGUCUCAUCAGUCUUAGUUCUUACA